AUUGAACGCUGGCGGCAGGCCUAACACAUGCAAGUCGAGCGGAUGAAGGGAGCUUUCUCCUGGAUUCAGCGGCGGACGGGUGAGUAAUUCCUAGGAAUCUGCCUUGUAGUUGGGGAUAACGUCCGUACACGGGCGCUAAUAUCGCAUACGUUCUUAGGUAGAAAGGGGUGGUUCUUCGGACCUCACGCUAUCAGAUGAGCCUAGGUCGGAUUAGCUAGUUGGUUGGGUAAAGGCCUACCAAGGCGACGAUCCGUAACUGGUCUGAGAGGAUGAUCAGUCACACUGGAACUGAGACACGGUCCAGACUCCUACGGGAGGCAGCAGUGGGGAAUAUUGGACAAUGGGCGAAAGCCUGAUCCAGCAAUGCCGCGUGUGUGAAGAAGGUCUUCGGAUUGUAAAGCACUCUAAGUUGGGAGGAAGAGAAGUAAGUUAAUACCUUGCUGUUUUGACGGUACCAAAAGAAUAAGCACCGGCUAACUUCGUG
rnacentral:rRNA from 1 species